rnacentral:rRNA from 1 species
UUUACCCUACGGGGGGCAGCAGUGGGGGAUAUUGCACAAUGGAGGGAACUCUGAUGCAGCGACGCCGCGUGAGGGAAGAAGGUUUUCGGAUUAUAAACCUCUGUCUUCGGUGACGAAACGAGACGGUAGCCGAGGAGGAAGCCACGGCUAACUACGUGCCAGCAGCCGCGGUAAUACGUAGGUGGCAAGCGUUGUCAGGAAUUACUGGGUGUAAAGGGAGCGUAGGCGGGAAAGCAAGUUGAAUGUUUAAGGUAUGGGCUCAACCUGUACAAGCGUUCAAAACUGUUUUUCUUGAGUGGAGUAGG